rnacentral:tRNA from 1 species
GGGGUUGUGGCUCAGCGGUAGAGCACUCACCUAGCAUGUGUGAGGCCCUGGGUUCGAUCCUCAGCAUUCCA